rnacentral:rRNA from 1 species
CUUAAGCAUAUCAAUAAGCAGAGGAAAAGAAACUACCAAGGAUUCCCCUAGUAACUGCGAGUGAAGCGGGAAAAGCUCAAAUUUAAAAUCUGGUGGUCUUUUGGCCGUCCGAGUUGUAAUUUAGAGAAGCAUCUUCCGCGCUGAACCGUGUAUAAGUCUCCUGGAAUGGAGCGUCAUAGAGGGUGAGAAUCCCGUCUUUGGCACGGAUAUCUCAGGGCUUUUGUGAUAUGCUCUCAAAGAGUCGAGUUGUUUGGGAAUGCAGCUCAAAAUGGGUGGUGAACUCCAUCUAAAGCUAAAUAUUGGCAAGAGACCGAUAGCGAACAAGUACCGUGAGGGAAAGAUGAAAAGCACUUUGGAAAGAGAGUGAAACAGUACGUGAAAUUGUUGAAAGGGAAACACUUGAAGUCAGUCAUAUUAACCAAGACUCAGCCUUGCCCUUGGCUUGGUGUAAUUCUUGGUUGAUAGGCCAACAUCAAUUUUGGUUCUUGGAUAAUGGUAAAAGAAAUGUGGCACCUUUUAUGGUGUGUUAUACGUCUCUUAUCGGAUACAAGGGUUGAGAUUGAGGAACUCAGCAUGCACCUUUUGGUGUUGGGGCUUUGCUCACAAUACAUGCU